CAGCAGCCGCGGGAAUACGGAGGGGGCUAGCGUUGUUCGGAAUUGCUGGGCGUAAAGCGCACGUAGGCGGCUUGGUAAGUUAGAGGUGAAAGCCUGGAGCUCAACUCCAGAAUUGCCUUUAAGACUGCCGAGCUAGCAGGUGAGAGAGGUAAGUGGAAUUCCGAGUGUAGAGGUGAAAUUCGUAGAUAUUCGGAAGAACACCAGUGGCGAAGGCGGCUUACUGGCUCAUACUGGACGCUGAGGUGCGAAAGCGUGGGGAGCAAACAGGAUUAGAUACCCCUGUAGUCCCUGUCUCUUAUAC
rnacentral:rRNA from 1 species